UACAGAGGAGCCAAGCGUUGUCCGGAUUGACUGGGCGUAAAGCGCACGCAGGCGGAUGCGCGCGUGGGGUGUGAAAUCUGGCCGCUUAACGGCCAGGCGCCAUCCCAUACGGCGCGUCUGGAGUGAUGCAGAGGUCGGUGGAAUUGCCGGUGUAGUGGUGAAAUGCGUAGAGAUCGGCAGGAACACCCAGGGGGAAACCAGCCGACUGGGCAUCGACUGACGCUGAGGUGCGAGAGCGUGGGGAGCGAACCGG
rnacentral:rRNA from 1 species